CUCUCAUGGAAUGUAAAUGUAUUGUAGACAGGAUCCACAGGUCAGGGCUGGCAGCUAGUAAGCAUAAAUGAUAAUCCAAAAUAGAGGUACAAAGCUAGAGAGUCAGGAAUUGAUAGAAUGCCACUAGUACCUGAAACAAAAACGGACCCUGAAGUUGAUGAGAAGCAUGGCUUUAAAACCAGUUAAGCGAGCCACUGAUGAGGCAAAUAGCUACAGGUGGGUCAGUAGGAGUCCAGGCCCCCCAGAGAUUCAUGCUAAACACUAUAACAAACUGAUAGGUGUCAAACUGCAG